rnacentral:rRNA from 1 species
UACGUAGGGUGCGAGCGUUAAUCGGAAUUACUGGGCGUAAAGCGUGCGCAGGCGGUUCGUUGUGUCGGUGGUGAAAGCCCCGGGCUUAACCUGGGAAUGGCCAUGGAAACUGGCGAACUGGAGUGUGGCAGAGGGGGGUGGAAUUCCGCGUGUAGCAGUGAAAUGCGUAGAGAUGCGGAGGAACACCAGUGGCGAAGGCGGCGACCUGGACGGACACUGACGCUGAGACGCGAAAGCGUGGGGAGCAAACAGG